rnacentral:rRNA from 1 species
CCUACGGGUGGCAGCAGUCGAGAAUCAUUCACAAUGGGGGAAACCCUGAUGGUGCGACGCCGCGUGAGCGAUGAAGUAUUUCGGUAUGUAAAGCUCUAUCAGCAGGGAAGAAAAUGACGGUACCUGACUAAGAAGCCCCGGCUAACUACGUGCCAGCAUCCGCGGUAAUACGUAGGGGGCACGCGUUAGACGGAUUUACUGGGUGUAAAGGGAGCGUAGACGGCUUGGCAAGCCAGAUGGGAAAGGCUGGGGCUCAACCCCAGGACUGCAUUUGGAACUGUCAUGCUAGAGUGUCGGAGAGGCAGGCGGAAUGCCUAGUGUAGCGGUGAAAUGCGUAGAUAUUAGGAGGAACACCAGUGGAGAAGGCGGCCUGCUGGACGAUGACUGACGUUGAGGCUCGAAAGCGUGGGGAGCAAACAGGAUUAGAUACCCGGGUAGUC